rnacentral:rRNA from 1 species
UACGGGGGGAGCUAGCGUUGUCCGGAAUCAUUGGGCGUAAAGGGCAUGUAGGUGGGACUUUAAGUCAAUUGUUAAAUCGUACGGCUUAACCGUAUACUGCAGUUGAUACUGGAGUUCUUGAGUGUGAGAGGGGACAGAGGAAUACCUGGUGUAGCGGUGGAAUGCGUAGAUAUUAGGUAGAACACUUGAGGCGAAGGCGUCUGUCUGGCUCAUCACUGACACUGAAAUGCGAAAGUAUGGGGAGCAAACAGG